rnacentral:rRNA from 1 species
UUGUAGUCAUAUGCUUGUCUCAAAGAUUAAGCCAUGCAUGUCUAAGUAUAAGCAACUAUACGGUGAAACUGCGAAUGGCUCAUUAAAUCAGUUAUCGUUUAUUUGAUAGUACCUUACUACUUGGAUAACCGUGGUAAUUCUAGAGCUAAUACAUGCUAAAAACCCCAACUUCGGAAGGGGUGUAUUUAUUAGAUAAAAAACCAACGCCCUUCGGGGCUCCUUGGUGAUUCAUAAUAACUAAACGAAUCGCAUGGCCUUGCGCCGGCGAUGGUUCAUUCAAAUUUCCGCCCUAUCAACUUUCGAUGGUAGGAUAGUGGCCUACCAUGGUAUCAGCGGGUAACGGGGAAUUAGGGUUCUAUUCCGGAGAGGGAGCCUGAGAAACGGCUACCACAUCCAAGGAAGGCAGCAGGCGCGCAAAUUACCCAAUCCCGACACGGGGAGGUAGUGACAAUAAAUACUGAUACAGGGCUCUUUUGGGUCUUGUAAUUGGAAUGAGUACAAUUUAAAUCCCUUAACGAGGAACAAUUGGAGGGCAAGUCUGGUGCCAGCAGCCGCGGUAAUUCGGGGCGGGGGCGGCGCGGCCGGGCGCGGGGCGCGGCGG